CGGGAUGUGGCGCAAUUGGUAGCGCACUCGCUUUGGGAGCGAGGGGUUGCCAGUUCGAGUCUGGCCAUCCCGACCA
rnacentral:tRNA from 1 species